AUCUUACAUCAUACCACCCUGAAUAUACCUGAUCUGGUCUGAUUUUAGAAGCUAAGCAGCAUUUGGCCUGGUUAGAACUUGGCUGGGAGGCCAACAGGAAAUACCGGGAAACUCCAAAUA
rnacentral:rRNA from 1 species